rnacentral:rRNA from 1 species
CCCUUAGAUGUCCUGGGCCGCACGCGCGUUACACUGAUGCAUUCAACGAGCUUAUAACCUUGGCCGAGAGGCCUGGGCAAUCUUGUUAACGUGCAUCGUGAUAGGGAUAGAUUAUUGAAAUUAUUAAUCUUGAACGAGGAAUUCCUAGUAAACGCAGAUCAUCAAUCUGCAUUGAUUACGUCCCUGCCCUUUGUACACACCGCCCGUCGCACCUACCGAUUGAGUGCUCCGGUGAACAAUUUGGACUGCUUUGAUUCGAUUAGAAUUUGAAGCGGAAAGUUUAGUGAACCUUAUCACUUAGAGGAAGGAGAAGUCGUAACA